AAAUAGCGAUGAAGUAAAAGGUUGCCGGCCGGCGGCCGGGUAAUUUUUACUGAGCAGCCUUGAUUAAAUCAGGCGACUA
rfam:Firmicutes bacterium ML8_F2 scaffold_20, whole genome shotgun sequence.